GGGCGGAGCAGUGCGCCUGCGUGUUACCGGAUGCGCAUGCGCAGGCGCCGUGUGGCACUCAGCGGUCGAAAGGGGAGUUCAAGGAGACGGGGGAGACGCGGCUGAGGGCUCCUCGUCGGGGUCGGGGCUGCAGCCGUCAUGCCGGGGAUAGUGGAGCUGCCCACUCUAGAGGAGCUGAAAGUAGACGAGGUGAAAGUUAGUUCUGCUGUGCUUAAAGCUGCGGCCCAUCACUAUGGAGCUCAGUGUGAUAAGCCCAACAAGGAGUUUAUGCUCUGCCGCUGGGAAGAGAAAGAUCCGAGGCGGUGUUUGGAGGAAGGCAAGCUGGUCAACAAGUGUGCUUUGGACUUCUUUAGGCAGAUAAAACGUCACUGCGCAGAGCCUUUUACAGAAUAUUGGACUUGCAUUGAUUAUACUGGCCAGCAGUUAUUUCGUCACUGUCGCAAACAGCAGGCAAAGUUUGACGAGUGUGUGCUGGACAAAUUGGGCUGGGUGCGGCCUGACCUGGGAGAACUGUCAAAGUUGUGACACCACCAUCUGUCGAAACGUCAGAGCUAGAAACCUGAAUUCUUCAUUCCCUACUGUUCUGAUUCCAUGCAGUCAUCACUUCCUAUAGGUCACCAAAGUGAAAACAGAUCGACCUUUACCGGAGAAUCCCUAUCACUCAAGACCAAGACCGGAGCCCAACCCUGAGAUCGAGGGAGAUCUGAAGCCUGCCGUACAUGGCAGCCACUAUUUUUUCUGGACCAAGUAAAGAUGGGUCCGUGGCCCACACUCGGUCAUGUGCCCAGACACCAACUGAUGAAAACGCCCAUGCAAUUUGCGUCGACUGAUAGUGUGUUCUUUCCGGGAUCACAAACAUUAACAAAAAAGUUAAUUUAUGUGACUUGGCAGUUAUUCUAUACCAUUUCCUGUCCAUUAAAAUUUUUAAAGGAAA